rnacentral:rRNA from 1 species
AGUAAUGUAUGGGGAUCUGCCCGAUAGAGGGGGAUAACUACUGGAAACGGUGGCUAAUACCGCAUAAUGUCUACGGACCAAAGCAGGGGCUCUUCGGACCUUGCACUAUCGGAUGAACCCAUAUGGGAUUAGCUAGUAGGUGGGGUAAAGGCUCACCUAGGCGACGAUCUCUAGCUGGUCUGAGGGGAUGAUCAGCCACACUGGGACUGAGACACGGCCCAG